AAAUAAGAAGUAAAUUUUACRUUUAGUUUCGACCUAAAAACUUGGUGAGUAAUCACCCUUAUUUA
rnacentral:tRNA from 1 species